rnacentral:tRNA from 1 species
GGGACUAUAGCUCAGCUGGUUAGAGCGCACGCCUGAUAAGCGUGAGGUCGAUGGUUCGAGUCCAUUUAGGCCCA